AUUGAACGCUGGCGACAUGCCUUACACAUGCAAGUCGAGCGGCAGCACGGGAGCAAUCCUGGUGGCGAGUGGCGAACGGGUGAGUAAUAUAUCGGAACGUGCCCAGUCGUGGGGGAUAACGUAGCGAAAGCUACGCUAAUACCGCAUACGAUCUAUGGAUGAAAGCGGGGGAUCGCAAGACCUCGCGCGAUUGGAGCGGCCGAUAUCAGAUUAGGUAGUUGGUGAGGUAAAGGCUCACCAAGCCGACGAUCUGUAGCUGGUCUGAGAGGCCGACCAGGCACACUGGGACUGAGACACGGCCGAGACUCCUACGGGAGGCAGCAGUGGGGAAGUUUGGACAAGGGGCGCAAGCCUGAUCCAGCAAUGCCGCGUGCAGGGUGAAGGCCUUCGGGUUGUAGACUGCUUUUGUACGGAACGAAACGGCGAGCUCUAAUACAGUUUGCUAAUGACGGUACCGUAAGAAUAAGCACCGGCUAACUACGUGCCAGCCGCCGCAGUAA
rnacentral:rRNA from 1 species